UAGUCCUAGCAGUAAACGGUGCGCGCUUGCUGUAGGCGGAUUCGACCCCGUCUGUGGCGUAGCUAACGCGUUAAGCGCGCCGCCUGGGGAGUACGGCCGCAAGGUUAAAACUCAAAGAAAUUGACGGGGGCCUGCACAAGCGGUGGAGUAUGUGGCUUAAUUCGAUGCAACGCGAAGAACCUUACCUGGCCUUGACAUGCAUCUCUAAGCGUGUGAAAGCACGUGAGCUCUUCGGAGCAAUUUGCACAGGUGCUGCAUGGCUGUCGUCAGCUCGUGUCGUGAGAUGUUGGGUUAAGUCCCGCAACGAGCGCAACCCUUGUGUCCUGUUGCCACUCGAACUUCGGUUCGGAGCACUCUGGACAGACUGCCUGGUUCCAACCAGGAGGAAGGUGGGGAUGACGUCAAGUCAGUAUGGCCCUUACGGCCAGGGCUGCACACGUACUACAAUGCCUGGCACAGAGGGAAGCAAGACUGCAAGGUGGAGCAAA
rnacentral:rRNA from 1 species